GACGAACGCUGGCGGCGUGCCUAAUACAUGCAAGUAGAACGCUGAAGAGAGGAGCUUACUCUUCUUGGAUGAGUUGCGAACGGGUGAGUAACGCGUAGGUAACCUGCCUUGUAGCGGGGGAUAACUAUUGGAAACGAUAGCUAAUACCGCAUAACAAUGGAUGACACAUGUCAUUUAUUUGAAAGGGGCAAUUGCUCCACUACAAGAUGGACCUGCGUUGUAUUAGCUAGUAGGUGAGGUAAUGGCUCACCUAGGCGACGAUACAUAGCCGACCUGAGAGGGUGAUCGGCCACACUGGGACUGAGACACGGCCCAGACUCCUACGGGAGGCAGCAGUAGGGAAUCUUCGGCAAUGGGGGCAACCCUGACCGAGCAACGCCGCGUGAGUGAAGAAGGUUUUCGGAUCGUGAAGCUCUGUUGUAAGUCAAGAACGGGUGUGAGAGUGGAAAGUUCACACUGUGACGGUAGCUUACCAGAAAGGGACGGCUAACUACGUG
rnacentral:rRNA from 1 species